ensembl:snoRNA
GUGCCCUCUUAAGGUUGACGCAGUGCCUUAAGAGGCUAACACAGAAGGGAAAGUAAGUCUCCAUUAAACCCAGGGAAGAGAUUGUGAAACUCCUCUUUGGAUUGUGUCUGGAGUCACAGCU